rnacentral:sRNA from 1 species
AAAUACAAUUAUGAGAGGACUGAUGAAUGGACAAUGAUGAACUAAUCUAUAUUUUUAUUUGAAAUGAAUCACUUCAAACGACAAAAUAUAGGAUUAGUCUAUCCAUUUUUAACAAUCAGUUUGCGUUUAUUUGUCAUGAUGUCAUUGGCAAAUAAAGUUUAUUCAGUGAGAGACUAAUCCUUCCAAUAUCCAAUUGGGGGGAUUUUUUC